CAGCCGCCGCGGUAAUUCGUAGGGUGCGAGCGUUAAUCGGAAUUACUGGGCGUAAAGCGUGCGCAGGCGGUUAUAUAAGACAGAUGUGAAAUCCCCGGGCUCAACCUGGGACCUGCAUUUGUGACUGUAUAGCUAGAGUACGGUAGAGGGGGAUGGAAUUCCGCGUGUAGCAGUGAAAUGCGUAGAUAUGCGGAGGAACACCGAUGGCGAAGGCAAUCCCCUGGACCUGUACUGACGCUCAUGCACGAAAGCGUGGGGAGCAAACAGGAUUAGAUACCCUGGUAGUCCACGCCCUAAACGAUGUCAACUGGUUGUUGGGUCUUCACUGACUCAGUAACGAAGCUAACGCGUGAAGUUGACCGCCUGGGGAGUACGGCCGCAAGGUUGAAACUUAAAGGAAUUGACGG
rnacentral:rRNA from 1 species